GCCCCAAUGGUCUAGCGGUAUGAUACUUGACUACGACGGUUUCGUUACGCAAUCAAGGGGUCGGGAUUUCGAUCAUCCCUUGGGGUU
rnacentral:tRNA from 1 species